rnacentral:rRNA from 1 species
GAUGAACGCUGGCGGCGUGCCUAAUACAUGCAAGUCGAGCGAACAGACGAGGAGCUUGCUCCUUUGACGUUAGCGGCGGACGGGUGAGUAACACGUGGAUAACCCACCUAUAAGACUGGGAUAACUUCGGGAAACCGGAGCUAAUACCGGAUAACAUGUUGAACCGCAUGGUUCAACAGUGAAAGACGGUCUUGCUGUCACUUAUAGAUGGAUCCGCGCCGCAUUAGCUAGUUGGUAAGGUAACGGCUUACCAAGGCAACGAUGCGUAGCCGACCUGAGAGGGUGAUCGGCCACACUGGAACUGAGACACGGUCCAGACUCCUACGGGAGGCAGCAGUAGGGAAUCUUCCGCAAUGGGCGAAAGCCUGACGGAGCAACGCCGCGUGAGUGAAGAAGGUCUUCGGAUCGUAAAACUCUGUUAUUAGGGAAGAACAAAUGUGUAAGUAACUAUGCACGUCUUGACGGUACCUAAUCAGAAAGCCACGGCUAACUACGUG